AAUGCCCAAGUCCUUUACUUGCUGUUGGCCAGGCUUCACCAGGAAAUGACAACAGAGCAGUGUUCGAUCCUUCAGAGCCGGGAUAAAAGCACAGAGGACUGCAAUGCAGAGCACGAGGACCGGUGGCCCUCAGAAAGCCCCGCUGGGAUGCUUCCGAAAGGCCAACACUGGGCGGGGGGAGACACUUCAGGGAGCGGAGGGUCCCUUGGGUCCUUGUCCCACGCCCCGUACAAGGGAUCAGGCAAAACGGGCUGCUCUCAGAUCUACUCUGUAGGCUGUUCACGUGGCAAUAAAUUGCUGGGUUUCCUUUGUGUUUCUAAUGGGAAAGCAAACCGACCACAAAGUAUACCCUUCCUCACCAACCCCUGCCGGGGAUCGUAAAAAGACUCCAAGGACUUAAAAGGUCAUAGGAAACGCGUGGUUCUUCUUGGUGAUUUCUGAUUCCGUGAAGGCAGUCUUGCAAGUGGCAAGUUGGUGCCACGUUAAGUAGCCCAAACAGCCCGUGAAAGAUGCGAGGUGUCUCUGGGUCCCCUGCAAAGGGCAGGGUGGGGAAUGUAGGUGGCCUCUUCCGCCUGUCAUACCUCUGGCACCACUGACCCUCCCGGCAUGAGCUGCAGAAAUCUAACUCCCCGCCCCCCACCUCCUCCCAGGCACGGUGGCCUCAGAGCUACAGGAGUGACUGUUCCUUUCCUUGUUCCCCGAUGGCCUCCUCCUUGCAGUCCUUCUCACUGCCCUGGAUAGAGGUGGCUGGGUAGUUUUCUUCAUACUCAUUCUUAAGGCUAAGGUGGCAAGAUAAGGUGCUUGGUGGAGAGCCAAAUUCUCGAUUCCAGGGCCACUUCGGCACUCGCACAUAAAGCAAAUACGGAAGAAAUGGAGAGGGGGGCGGAGAGGCAAAAAAAAAAAAAAACCCAAACCCAAACAAAAUGUAUCUGGGCUCAAUAGGAAGUUACGUACUGCAAGUUUAGAUUUCAAAUGUAGUCUCAACCCCUGAAAAUAGGGGGUGGGGGCGGGGAGUCAAAGCCACAAAUGAGCCUUCGGCCCUGGUCUGUGCUGUCCCCUCGGCCGGGGUAGCGCGUCGCCCCUAGCAGCUCUCGCCACGGGCCUCCCUCGCGGACGCCGGCUCGCAAGCGGCAGUUCCGUCCUCAUCCGAGACAAAGGACUCUGAACGCCGUCACCCCUUCCUCCCCGCAACCCCUCGGAACAAAAGCUAUACACACACACGAGUCAGAGAUCUCUACGCCAGUAGGAGAAACA
rnacentral:lncRNA from 1 species